AUACGGAGGGUGCAAGCGUUAUCCGGAUUUAUUGGGUUUAAAGGGUUCGUAGGCGGAUCAAUAAGUCGGUGGUGAAAGCCUGUGGCUCAACCAUAGAACUGCCAUUGAUACUGUUGAUCUUGAGUACAGUUGAAGUGGGCGGAAUGCGUCAUGUAGCGGUGAAAUGCAUAGAUAUGACGCAGAACACCGAUUGCGAAGGCAGCUCACUAAAUUGUAACUGACGCUGAGGAACGAAAGCGUGGGGAGCGAACAGGAUUAGAAACCCUUGUAGUCC
rnacentral:rRNA from 1 species